GAUUUUUCUCACUAGAAAUACCUGUGGGGGGAAAAACCCAAAGGGCAUUUUAAUGAAGUACAUUUAAAAUAAUGAUACUUGUUUCAUUUGCUUAAUGUAAAGUGAACCUGCCAGGUAUGUGAUCAUAAUGGAGAUUGAGAAAACAACGAGGAGGAAUUCACUGGAGCAAUGCUAUUUUACAAAACUGGGCAUCAAUUCCUCCAAGCAGCAGCUGAAGAACGUCAGCUGUGACAGAAGACAAUGGGAAGAUUGUUCUUUUGCUGAGGAACAAAAGGCAGUGAAUGAAUCAGUGUAUGGAGGUGGUGGAAGCAAGGAUGAUUUGCAAGGACAGAAAGAUAUGGGAAGGCCUAAUUUAUAAACUGAUGUACUAAUGUAUAUUUCUCUUUCUUUGGCUUAUCACAAACUGAGACCUGUCUGUCACCUUUUCUUUAACUGUGAGGAGUUGAGAUACUUGUGUCUCUUAAAGUUUUGCAUUGGAAACGAAGACAAUAUUCACUUUGCAGGUUAAAGAUCUGCCUGAACUCUGUACACCUUAUGGAAGA